AGGAUGAACGCUGGCGGUCUGCUUAACACAUGCAAGUCGAACGGAGUAGAAAUACUUAGUGGCGGACGGGUGAGUAACGCGUGAGAAUCUACCUUCAGGACGGAGACAACAGUUGGAAACGACUGCUAACCCCCGAUGUACUGAAAAGGCAAAUAUUUAUAGCCUGAAGAAGAGCUCGCGUCCGAUUAGCUAGUUGGAGAGGUAAAAGCUCACCAAGGCGACGAUCGGUAGCUGGUCUGAGAGGACGAUCAGCCACACUGGGACUGAGACACGGCCCAGACUCCUACGGGAGGCAGCAGUGGGAAUAUUGCACAAUGGGCGCAAGCCUGAUGCAGCAACGCCGCGUGAGGGACGACGGCCUUCGGGUUGUAAACCUCUUUUAGUAGGGUAAGAAGCGAAAGUGACGGUACCUGCAGAAAAGCACCGGCUAACUACGUGCCAGCAGCCGC
rnacentral:rRNA from 1 species